AAAAAGGCGCUGGUUAAUACCUGGCGUUUUUGACGGUACCGGCAGAAUAAGCACCGGCUAACUACGUGCCAGCAGCCGCGGUAAUACGUAGGGUGCGAGCGUUAAUCGGAAUUACUGGGCGUAAAGCGUGCGCAGGCGGUUCGUUGUGUCCGGUGUGAAAGCCCCGAGCUUAACUUGGGAAUGGCAUUGGAAACUGGCGAGCUGGAGUGUGGCAGAGGGGGGUGGAAUUCCACGUGUAGCAGUGAAAUGCGUAGAGAUGUGGAGGAACACCGAUGGCGAAGGCAGCCCCCUGGGCCAACACUGACGCUCAGGCACGAAAGCGUGGGGAGCAAACAGGAUUAGAUACCCUGGUAGUCCACGCCCUAAACGAUGUCAACUGGGUGUUGGGGAAGCGAUUCCUUGGUACCGUAGCUAACGCGUGAAGUUGACCGCCUGGGGAGUACGGCCGCAAGGUUAAAACUCAAAGGAAUUGACGGGGACCCGCACAAGCGGUGGAUGAUGUGGAUUAAUUCGAUGCAACGCGAACAACCUUACCUACCCUUGACAUGUCUGGAAGCCUGCUGAGAGGUGGGUGUGCCCGAAAGGGAACCGGAACACAGGUGCUGCAUGGCU
rnacentral:rRNA from 1 species